GACGAACGCUGGCGGCGUGCCUAAUACAUGCAAGUAGAACGCUGAAGGAGGAGCUUGCUUCUCUGGAUGAGUUGCGAACGGGUGAGUAACGCGUAGGUAACCUGCCUGGUAGCGGGGGAUAACUAUUGGAAACGAUAGCUAAUACCGCAUAAUAGUAGAUGUUGCAUGACAUUUGCUUAAAAGGUGCAAUUGCAUCACUACCAGAUGGACCUGCGUUGUAUUAGCUAGGUGGUGGGGUAACGGCUCACCAAGGCGACGAUACAUAGCCGACCUGAGGGGGGGAUCGACCACCAUGGGACCGAGACACGGCCCAGACUCCUACGGGAGGGAGCAGUAGGGAAUCUUCGGCCAUGGACGGAAGGCUGACCGAGCAACGCCGCGUGAGUGAAGAAGGUUUUCGGAUCGUAAAGCUCUGUUGGAAGGGAAGAACGAGUGUGAGAGUGGAAAGUUCACACUGUGACGGUAUCUUACCAGAAAGGGACGGCUAACUACGUG
rnacentral:rRNA from 1 species